GCUCCGGCGCUACGGAGAGGGGGCCCGCGGCCGAUUAGCUUGUUGGUGGGGUAAUGGCCUACCAAGGCGACGAUCGGUAGCUGGUCUGAGAGGAUGGUCAGCCACACGGGGACUGAGAUACGGCCCCGACUCCUACGGGAGGCAGCAGCUAAGAAUCUUGCGCAAUGGGCGAAAGCCUGACGCAGCAAUUCCGCGUGGAGGACGAAGGCCCCUCGGGUCGUAAACUCCUUUUUGCGAGGGAAGAAGUUCUGACGGUACCUCGCGAAUAAGCCACGGCUAACUACGUGCCAGCAGCCGCGGUAAUACGUAGGUGGCGAGCGUUGUCCGGAUUUAUUGGGCGUAAAGAGCCCGCAGGCGGCUUGGCAAGUUUCGAGUGAAAUCUCCCGGCUCAACUGGGAGGGCGCUCGGAAAAACUGCCAGGCUUGAGGCAGG
rnacentral:rRNA from 1 species